rnacentral:rRNA from 1 species
UACGUAGGUGGCAAGCGUUGUCCGGAAUUAUUGGGCGUAAAGCGCGCGCAGGCGGUCCUUUUAAGUCUGAUGUGAAAGCCCACGGCUCAACCGUGGAGGGUCAUUGGAAACUGGGGGACUUAGUGCAGGAGAGAAGAGUGGAAUUCCACGUGUAGCGGUGAAAUGCGUAGAGAUGUGGAGGAACACCAGUGGCGAAGGCGGUCUGCUGGGGUCGGAACUGACGCUGGAGGCGCGACAGCGU